UAUAAGUGCAGUUUUACACUAUUCAUGUUCAACAUUUAACCAUUUAUUUUAUUUAAAUUUUUUUUAUGAUUACUAUUUUUAUUGAUAUUAGAUGAUAAAAUAUGAAUAAUACUUUAUGUGUGACUAACUUUUUUUAAAAUUUUUCAUAAAAUUUUUUAAUAAGACGGACGUUACUUAUUUUGGGACGGAUGUAGUAAUU
rnacentral:pre_miRNA from 1 species